rnacentral:lncRNA from 1 species
CCCAAGUCCAUCACAUCUGAUAACCACUGUCAGGCUAGACAGUGGACUCAUGGUGCUCUCAGGGCGACCUCACAGGGGCUUGGCCGUGGCACUGAGGGGAGAGCCUGAUUGGCUGGCUGUUUCAUUGCCAGAUCUCUGAAGGCCAAUCAGGAUUUGUAGCUCAGCCACCUGCUUUCUGAGGAGCACUGAGCAAGAUGGCCACCUCCUGGUGGUAAGUCUCGCUCCUGGAGUUCCCAUCUUGACCCUACAGCGGGACAUUUUGCCGCCACCUCUUUGUGUGUUGGGAAGAUGACGUCCUUUCUGCUCGUCCUGCUUCUCUGAUUGAUCUGUGUCUCUGGAGAUCCCUUUGCUCAGCCAUCAGAUCAAGCAGGCAUCCAUGGUUCAGAAUGCAGGUGAUGACCUGGGCAAGAGCUCACCAGUAAGGAGCAAAGGGGCCCGCCUGCCACUCUUAAGCAGAGCGCCUGCUGAAUCAGGAUUUCCAAGGCUCCGGCUGAGUGCCUGGCUGGGGGCUGUGUGUGCAGAUGCCACAAGAUGGACAAGACUGAGGACGCAGAUUUCCUACAACAGCAGACUUCUGAUGCCCAGGCCUCAGUUCUGAACUCUGGAGGCUACAACCUGGCCUGCUUAUAGACGGUGGACCAAAUGAAGGUGAAGAGGAGACGGAUGAGGAAACUGAAGCAACUGUUCAAGAAGAGGAUAUAAAAAGGGACAGGCAUUGAUGAUGAUAUCAGAGCUUCUUCCUGGGGAAUCUCAGCCUCACAUGAUGGAGUAUGACUAAAGGAAAAAAAUAAGGCUCUUCACAUACUUUCUUGGCAGUCUGUGAGGGUCAGGGUUGAUUUUGUGUCCCUAAAAUGUCACAUGAAGUUCAUAGGCACUUCCAAAGGGGCAGUCUAGCAAGUUAAAGAGUAGAUGUGGGGCUGUGUGGAGUCCAUUGUUUGGGUAAUCUUUUUCAAACAGUAGGAAUAUACCAGCUUGUAAAGAUUUGCCCACUUAGCUUCAAGUCUCUCUGAACACAUUUCCCCCCGCUCUAUGAAUAGAUGAAGACAUACAAAUGGAACUCUUGAUAUUCUUAAGUGAAAAACAUGAUAUGGAAUAGCAGAUAAAUACAAACAAUUUCUUAUCCAGCAAAGAGCUCCAGAAAUAUUUUGACUUCAUUUAAAACAGUUAUAUAAAUAUUUGCUGGUGGAAUUUUUUUCUAAACCAAAUACCCUGAAGGAUUUUAGUUGUCUAUCUACAACUUUUUGCUUGUGGAAAAUGUUGACUUCCUGGUUACUUUGACUUGUGUUCACCUGAAAUUUUGCUUUUGCAGUAGUUUUUCUUAUGAUUUAGUGGCAUUGCCUGUCCAGUGACAGGAAGUGGUGUUCUUAUUGGGACUAAUAUGUGUUAUGGCCCUAGAACCAGCAGAAGCCACUCCUGCUUUUUUCCACACUCUUCUUUCUAUAGAAGAGAAGGGAAUGAGGAUCCCACAUGGCAUUCACUGCCUUGAGCAUACUGAGAUUUCUUUGCAAAAGGAGAAACAGCACCAGCAACUAAGCAUUUUAUCCCAUUUUAUUUUACUUCUUCUAUGAUUCUUUGCCACUUAGCAAUGCCAAUUAAUUGAUUUGGGACUGGAAAUACAUUUCUUAUACAAUCUUCAAGUUUUCUUUCAUAAGAACAUAACUUUCAUCUGAUAUUGUUCCCCACUUCUCUCUUUUCAAAUGUAAUAUUUGGGCCAGUCCUUGAAAGUGAACUGAGUUGAGUUCUCAUGGCCCAUAAAAGAACAUAUUCAAAAUGUAUCAUUUUCUUUAUGUCACAGAUAAAAGAUCAUUAAUUGUAUAUAAAAUUUCCAUAUAAUUUUUAAAAUUUUUAUUUUGCAAUAAUUUAUUUUAGAUUUACAUUAAAGUUGCAAGGAAGGU